UACAGAGGGUGCGAGCGUUGUCCGGAAUCACUGGGCGUAAAGGGCGCGUAGGCGGCUCAUGAAGGCUGUGGUGAAAGUCCGGGGCUCAACCUCGGAUCGGCCGUGGCGACUCGUGGGCUGGAGCACUGUAGAGGCGGGUGGAAUUCCGGGUGUAGCGGUGGAAUGCGUAGAGAUCCGGAAGAACACCAGUGGCGAAGGCGGCCCGCUGGGCAGUGGCUGACGCUGGAAGCGCGACAGCGUGGGGAGCAAACAGG
rnacentral:rRNA from 1 species